GACGAACGCUGGCGGCGUGCUUAACACAUGCAAGUCGAACGGAAAGGCCCUGCUUUUGUGGGGUGCUCGAGUGGCGAACGGGUGAGUAACACGUGAGUAACCUGCCCUUGACUUUGGGAUAACUUCAGGAAACUGGGGCUAAUACCGGAUAGGAGCUCCUGCUGCAUGGUGGGGGUUGGAAAGUUUCGGCGGUUGGGGAUGGACUCGCGGCUUAUCAGCUUGUUGGUGGGGUAGUGGCUUACCAAGGCUUUGACGGGUAGCCGGCCUGAGAGGGUGACCGGCCACAUUGGGACUGAGAUACGGCCCAGACUCCUACGGGAGGCAGCAGUGGAGAAUAUUGCACUAUGGGCGGAAGCCUGAUGCAGCAACGCCGCGUGCGGUAUGACGGCCUUCGGGUUGUAAACCGCUUUCGCCUUUGACGAAGCGUGAGUGACGGUAAUGGGUAAAGAAGCACCGGCUAACUACGUG
rnacentral:rRNA from 1 species